ACAAUUAUUACGGUGGUUCUCCAACCCCCAUCUGUCCACCCACCCUCCACUCCACACACCCCUGCUCGCAACCCAUGGCAAUUGAGUUACGGAGAACUCAGUGAGGGGUGGUCACUGGCUCAAGGUGGUGAGUCGGAGACGCCGGCGGAUCUGCUUCCUAGGCCAGUUACGGCCCCGGCCCCCUUCAGCGCCUUGUUCUAGAGGAGUAGGCAAAAUUUACUUGUGUGCCGUCUGUUUGUUAGUUCAUCACAUGGUGGCGCCACUGGACCAGGCGGCACCGCAUGCCACAUUGGAACAAGAUCAGCGAGACGCCGCCACAGCCACAGAGAAUAGCGGCAGGGAUCACGGAGCUGCCGACAUAGCAGAUGCUGAUCCAGGCGAAGCAAUAGGCGCUCCUGGAUCCGCACCUUCUGUCACGUCAAGGAUUUCGGUGCAGAAGGUGUGCUCACUCGUGGGCAAGUUUAACAAAUUCAAGAGGGAUUUGGUCGAGGAGAUAGGCUUUGGUGGGAUGCUGGGGAUUCAGAUGUUGGCAAAGUUGAAUUUGAAAUUCAGCGCGUGGCUAAUGGAAAGAGUCGACGUCGAGUCGAGUACACUGAAAAUAGACGAGCAAAGGGUUCUGCAGAUCCAGGACCAUGAUGUCCAGAAGGUAUUCAGUCUGCCAUGUGGCACCAGAUCGAUAUGCCCCGAUACAACCGAGCCAUCCGAAGCCUGCAAAGAGUUCAUGCGAGCUUCUGCCUAUUUGAGCAAAGGCGCGCAUAGUCUAAAGGCCGCGGAGGCUUAUCUCCUGAGAGAUGACAUCAAUGCAGAUUCCAGCAAGGUCCAGAUAGAUUGCUUCAAGAUAGCCUUUGUUAUUUUUGUUGUUGGGCACCUGUUGGCUCCAUCGACUAAGCAUGACUACAUCACCAUAGAUUUCUGGGCUGCACUCAACGAUAUCUCGCAAGUUAAGGAAUUUAAUUGGUGUGCUUAUGUACUCGAGCAUUUGAACAGAGCUGUUGGGAAGUUGAAAACUGAUAUCCGCAACCGGAACAUCACUGUACAUCUUGUUGGCUGCCACCUGUUUCUUCAGGUAUUCUACUUGGACAAUCUUGAUCUUGGUCCACUUUCCAAGACAAAAGACCAUCUACCAAGGAUUAGUCUUUUUGACUACGAGUCGGUUAAGAAGAUGAUAGAAGUGAUCACUAGCAACGUGGACGGAGAUACAUCAUUCGCUGGAGCUAGUUUUAGGCGCGCUCAAGAUGUUUGCUACUCCAGAGUCCACUACGAAAGCCACACUCACCGACCAGAUGUAGCUUCUGACCUGCCCCAUCAUGCCCCAGGUUUUGUUGGCACAAAGCACCAACACAACCCAAUUACUCCCAUGCUACGAAGCAGCUUCACUGAAACUGGACAAGAAGAUUUCUCCAACCAUCUCCGACUGAAAUACCCGUCAUUUGCAGACCACCCGCUUAUGACCAUUUUGGAAGAACAUAAUGCACACAUGUUGGAAAAUAUAUCUGAAAUUAGGCGAAGUUGCGAAGUGGCGAUGUCUACCUUCGCGGACAAGCUUCUGGGCUAUAUAUCUGAGAACCGCUGUUGCUGCAGAGCGGUGGGACGAACCGAUUGUUUACUGAGGUCGCCGCACACAAUUCAUGGGAACACGCUUGGCACACCUACAACACGUCAAUCCUGAUUUUACUGGGGCACGAUGUAGUCAUAGGGUUUUAAACUUUUAAUACAUUAGCACUGUUCUUAUGGUUCCCUGUUAGUUCACCACCCACCCCCUCUCCCCCAAUUACGGUAGGGUACUGAUUUGUUUUUCUCGUUGGGUGUACCAGAGAGUUCAACCGAGCAGAAUUCACUCUCUCACAAACGGGAUGCACCUGAGCCCACUGGAGCAGGACAUCACAAGAAGAUCCGGGUGAACCAGCCUCUAGUUGAGACAGACCUUCAAGCAAGUAUACCUGGAUGCUCAACUAGCAACAGCCUACCCCGCAGUCCUUUACAAGUUGACAUCAACCUGGCUGCACCGUAGGCCGGAUGAGCGUCUGUAUUUUGCGUUCAGCAUCAACUUUCAUGCUGUACGUAACACUGGAUCAGCAGCCCUCAUGUCAUCAGAAAUGUCCGUUGUCUUCGUAGCAUAGUGUCUUAGGCUUUCAUCACCAACUUGCACGAUAUAUGUGAACUCUGAUUGUUCACGGCUUAGUUUGCUGCAUACGGUCUUAAGCGAUCGUUUGGUGCGCAUUCUCUAGGGUCCCGAAGAAAUUCCCGAUAAUGCUGUAAACUCUAGCCAGGCUAACAUGUUUCUCCCUGAGUUGCUUAACCAAUUAAGUCUUUUGUGCAA